rnacentral:rRNA from 1 species
CCCUUAGAUGUUCUGGGCCGCACGCGCGCUACACUGAUGCGUUCAACGAGUGUACAACCUUGCCCGAUAGGGUUGGGUAACCUUUUGAACACGCAUCGUGAUGGGGAUUGAGUAUUGCAAUUAUUACUCAUCAACGAGGAAUUCCUAGUAAUGAUGAAUCAUCAGUUCAUCGUGAUUACGUCCCUGCCCUUUGUACACACCGCCCGUCGCUCCUACCGAUUGAGCAAUCCGGUGAAUAUUUCGGACCUAGAAUUGUCGGGGCAACUCGUUCAGUUUUGGGAAAGUCAAGUUAACCUUAUUGCUUAGAGGAAGGAGAAGUCGUAACA